ACCGCAGAGGUGAAUCUGGCAACACUGCAUAACGGUACUGCAGAUUGAGUGCUGCCGUUAAAUGUUGACAAAUAGGAAUGGAGAUAAGUAAACAAGAUGAUAGUAUGUAGUAGUAGUGGUAGUAGUAGUAAUAUAGAUAAUAGUGAGUGGUAAACAUAAUUCGCCAUCGCAAAUAUAAUCUCGAUGUAUUAUUAGAAUAUAAACAAUUCAGUUCCGCGGUUAAAGUUUAUUAUUCGAAAAUCGUAUAUAAAUAGUGCUAGAUUGGUCGCAGGAGGUACAAAAAACGUUCCUUAUUUACCGCUAAAUCCUGUAAGUAAACGAAAAGGAAUAAAAUUUAGUUAAGUUAGUGUAUGAAUGUAAAUAUUUACCCUCGUUUACUUACCUGCAGCGACGGUCGAUCGUGGUGGAUACCUGUAAAGGAUACAUUCACCCAAAAAGUAUCUACCAUUCCUCGUUGGAUUUAGAUUCACCUGCAAAUAGGUCGAGCAUAUAGCACAACAACGUUAGGGUAGUUGGACCGAAGUUCGGAUCAAGCGCAAAUCAUACAGCAAAUCGAUCAACAGAGAGAGUGUAGGAGGAAGAAAAGGAAGCUUUAUACAGUGGGAAAGGAAACCACUUUAUUGUAAGUAACAUCUAAUAUUAAUAAAAAUUGUAAGCUAAUGAUAAUAAAUGUUUACAGUUUGAGCGUUGCUGAAAACUAGUCAGCUGCUGUUGAAAAUUUGGUUUCCCUA